AGCAGAUGUUAAGCCUCGGGUCAUUGCUAGAAGAUGUAUUCCAAAUCUUUGACCUCAGGGAGCUCAUCAAAUUUAUCAGAAUAUCUUGGUCUUUGAGUUCUGCCCGGUGUAUCCCCAAGAAAAGAAAUUAACUACAGUUUAGGUUUGGAACUAAAAGAGAUGAGAUUCACAAUGCUUUCCCUGUGUCUAAUCGUUUUAAGAGUCUAUUUAUAGCAGAAGUGUCAUCCCUGGAGCAUAUUGAAGAAGUCUCAGAAUGUGAGCAGUUAGAUGGAAGAUGAUAAUGAAGCAGCCUUGAUGCAAUUUGACCAAAAGUAAUGAAAGAGAUGGAGAGGUGGCGAGUCAUCCGUGCAGCAAAACCUAAAGGAGAGGACACCAGGUGUGACUGGUGUGAUCUUUGCUGUUUAACGCAUUUACAAAUUAGAAUCCAUCUACGUCUGCCAUUCUGCCUCCAUCUGAACAUUCAUAGUUUACUAAACUCAGUUCCUGAACAAAAUGUAGAGAGUGUCCAGUCGUGCUUUUGUCUGAGAAAAGGUUCCCCAAGAAAGGAACAUCUUAGAAAUGAAUUUCUAGGCUUCAGGUUUCAAACUAUUCUCCUUUUCAGGGCUCUUAAUUACUUUUUGUCAAACUGGGAAGUUACUCUGGAAUGUUUUCAGGAUGCUCCAGUCCUUGCAAGCCUUAUACCUAAAGCAGAUUCACAGCUGUGCCCAGAACAAGCUUUGAAGUCACCACGCUUGGCUAGUAUCUCAAAUGUUUUGCUUUAAUCUGUGGACACCAUUUUUCCGAGGAAACCUUCUUGUGAUUUUUGUAUUUCCUGUCACCAAGAAUUUUUAUUCUAUAAUGUUUGUAUUUCUUAUGAACCAAGGGUGACAAAUAUGGGCAAAUAUUUUGCCAGUUGUGCUGUCUUUGGUAAUAUAGAAUUAAGAGAGACAAUGUCACUGAAGCUGUGUGAUUUCUUUUAAAUUUUCAUUAUAAUUGGUUUUGAUUAAAUAGUAAUUUUAUAUUUUCUUCUUAGUUUUACCUUCUGAUAUUUGAAUAAGAAAGGUGGAGUCAUUUAUGUAAAGGUUAUGUAAAAUUCAAAAAAGUUAGAAAAAACAAUUUCAUUUUUUUUAACAAUUCAAUUUCCUGAUGAGUUUUAUUCAUUUAUUUGUUGCAGGCAUAGAUUUUAGGGAGUUUUUAUUAAAAUAUUUAAUAACUAUUUAAUAGAUG
rnacentral:lncRNA from 1 species